UACGAAGGGGGCUAGCGUUGCUCGGAAUGACUGGGCGUAAAGGGCGCGUAGGCGGAUUGCUUUGUCAGACGUGAAAUUCCAGGGCUCAACCUUGGGGCUGCGUUUGAGACGGGUGAUCUUGAGUUCGGAAGAGGGUCGUGGAAUUCCCAGUGUAGAGGUGAAAUUCGUAGAUAUUGGGAAGAACACCGGUGGCGAAGGCGGCGACCUGGUCCGAGACUGACGCUGAGGCGCGAAAGCUAGGGGAGCGAACGGG
rnacentral:rRNA from 1 species